CUCUGCGAUCAGUGAAAGGAAAGUAAGUCGAAGAAGUGCAGCGACGGGUUCAUUCGCCAUUGGACCACGUGCGCGCGUGACUUCGUCGAUUCACCGGUGGCC
rnacentral:lncRNA from 1 species